rnacentral:lncRNA from 1 species
CAGGUGGUGUGGGAUCAACAAGAAGGCUAUUGUGGGAUGAAUAAAAAGGUGUUGUGUGGGUACCAUUGGAGGUGCGAUGCACGUGAUGACCCAAUGCCGAGUGGAGUGGGGACAAUUGUGGAUGACCGUGCUUGAGGAACCCUUAUUAUAUAGCAUGGCUAUCAUUGCUUCCUUGGUUUUUCAAUCCCCUUCCCUUUAUCAGCAUAAGAUUGAUGCUCUCCU